UCCCUGCCUCUGCUCACCCCCGCACCUUCAGACCUCUGUGCCUGCAAUCCCAGCACUGGGGAGGCUGAGGCAGGAGGA
rnacentral:miRNA from 1 species